rnacentral:rRNA from 1 species
AUUGAACGCUGGCGGCAGGCCUAACACAUGCAAGUCGAGCGGAUGAAGGGAGCUUGCUCCUGGAUUCAGCGGCGGACGGGUGAGUAAUGCCUAGGAAUCUGCCUGGUAGUGGGGGAUAACGUCCGGAAACGGGCGCUAAUACCGCAUACGUCCUGAGGGAGAAAGUGGGGGAUCUUCGGACCUCACGCUAUCAGAUGAGCCUAGGUCGGAUUAGCUAGUUGGUGGGGUAAAGGCCUACCAAGGCGACGAUCCGUAACUGGUCUGAGAGGAUGAUCAGUCACACUGGAACCGAGACACGGUCCAGACUCCUACGGGAGGCAGCAGUGGGGAAUAUUGGACAAAGGGCGAAAGCCUGAUCCAGCCAUGCCGCGUGUGUGAAGAAGGUCUUCGGAUUGUAAAGCACUUUAAGUUGGGAGGAAGGGCAGUAAGUUAAUACCUUGCUGUUUUGACGUUACCAACAGAAUAAGCACCGGCUAACUUCGUG